CUCUAAAAAGUAUUCUUGUACAUUUGCCUUCCAAGCAAAAAGACUAAAAAAAUUAGUUUAGAGA
rnacentral:tRNA from 1 species